rnacentral:rRNA from 1 species
GAGCGCACUGGCCCAACUGAUCUGACGUGCUUGCACUGAAGUGACGAUGGAUUACCAGUGAGCGGCGGACGGGUGAGUAACACGUGGGCAACCUGCCCUGAAGCGGGGGAUAACAUUUGGAAACAGGUGCUAAUACCGCAUAACAACGAAAACCACAUGGUUUUCGUUUCAAAGAUGGUUUCGGCUAUCACUUCAGGAUGGGCCCGCGGUGCAUUAGCUUGUUGGUAGGGUAACGGCCUACCAAGGCAAUGAUGCAUAGCCGAGUUGAGAGACUGAUCGGCCACAAUGGAACUGAGACACGGUCCAUACUCCUACGGGAGGCAGCAGUAGGGAAUCUUCCACAAUGGGCGCAAGCCUGAUGGAGCGACACCGCGUGAGUGAAGAAGGGUUUCGGCUCGUAAAGCUCUGUUGUUGAAGAAGAACGUGCGUGAGAGUAACUGUUCACGCAGUGACGGUAUUCAACCAGAAAGUCACGGCUAACUACGUGCCAGCAGCCGCGGUAAUACGUAGGUGGCAAGCGUUAUCCGGAUUUAUUGGGCGUAAAGCGAGCGCAGGCGGUUGCUUAAGUCUGAUGUGAAAGCCUUCGGCUUAACCGAAGAAGUGCAUCGGAAACUGAGCGACUUGAGUGCAGAAGAGGACAGUGGAACUCCAUGUGUAGCGGUGGAAUGCGUAGAUAUAUGGAAGAACACCAGUGGCGAAGGCGGCUGUCUGGUCUGCAACUGACGCUGAGGCUCGAAAGCAUGGGUAGCGAACAGGAUUAGAUACCCUGGUAGUCCAUGCCGUAAACGAUGAGUGCUAGGUGUUGGAGGGUUUCCGCCCUUCAGUGCCGCAGCUAACGCAUUAAGCACUCCGCCUGGGGAGUACGACCGCAAGGUUGAAACUCAAA